rnacentral:rRNA from 1 species
UGAGGAAUAUUGCACAAUGGACGAAAGUCUGAUGCAGCAACGCCGCGUGGAGGAUGAAGGCCCUUGGGUUGUAAACUCCUUUUUUCGGGGAAGAGAAUGGACGGUACCCGAAGAAUAAGUCACGGCUAACUACGUGCCAGCAGCCGCGGUAAUACGUAGGUGGCAAGCGUUAUCCGGAAUUACUGGGCGUAAAGCGCACGCAGGCGGUCUUUUAAGUUUGACGUGAAAGCUCCCGGCUUAACUGGGAGAGGUCGUUGAAUACUGGAAGACUUGAGUUUAGGAGAGGGGUGUAGAAUUCCCGGUGUAGUGGUGGAAUGCGUAGAUAUCGGGGGGAAUACCAGUGGCGAAAGCGGCACCCUAGCCUUUGACUGACGCUCAUGUGCGAAAGCGUGGGGGAGCGAACGGGAUUAGAUACCCCGGUAGUCCACGCCGUAAACGAUGAACACUAGGUGUAGGUGAUGUGAAAGUUAUCUGUGCCGAAGCAAACGCGUUAAGUGUUCCGCCUGGGGAGUACGGCCGCAAGG